rnacentral:rRNA from 1 species
UGUCAGCAGCCGCGGUAAUACGGAGGGAGCUAGCGUUGUUCGGAAUUACUGGGCGUAAAGCGCACGUAGGCGGUUACUCAAGUCAGAGGUGAAAGCCCGGGGCUCAACCCCGGAACUGCCUUUGAAACUAGGUAACUAGAAUCCUGGAGAGGUGAGUGGAAUUCCGAGUGUAGAGGUGAAAUUCGUAGAUAUUCGGAAGAACACCAGUGGCGAAGGCGGCUCACUGGACAGGUAUUGACGCUGAGGUGCGAAAGCGUGGGGAGCAAACAGGAUUAGAUA